CGCCCAACAGCUAGCCCACAAACACAACAACAACCAACCACUAUUUAUAACCCCAAAUACACGAGUGUUUUAAUUAAACAAACCAUUUUCCCCCUUUAGUAUGGGCGACAGAAAAAG
rnacentral:rRNA from 3 species